AUAUUUACCUGGCAAGGGAGAUACCAUAAUCACGAAGGUGUUUUCCAAGGGCUUAUCCAUUUCACUCCAGAUGUGCUGACCUCUAAUUGCAGGAACUUGACUGCAUAAUUAGUGGUAGUGGAAGACUGCAUUUGAGCUCUCUCCUA
rnacentral:snRNA from 1 species